rnacentral:rRNA from 1 species
GACGAACGCUGGCGGCGUGCUUAACACAUGCAAGUCGAACGGAAAGGCCCUGCUUUUGUGUCGUGCUCGAGUGGCGAACGGGUGAGUAACACGUGAGUAACCUGCCCUUGACUUUGGGAUAACUUCAGGAGACUGGGGCUAAUACCGGAUAGGAGCUCCUGCUGCAUGGGGGGGAAUGGAAAGUUUCGGCGGUUGGGGAUGGACUCGCGGCUUAUCAGCUUGUUGGUGGGGUUGUGGCUUACCAAGGCUUUGACGGGUAGCCGGCCUGAGAGGGUGACCGGCCACAUUGGGACUGAGAUACGGCCCAGACUCCUACGGGAGGCAGCAGUGGGGAAUAUUGCACAAUGGGCGGAAGCCUGAUGCAGCAACGCCGCGUGCGGGAUGACGGCCUUCGGGUUGUAAACCGCUUUCGCCUGUGACGAAGCGUGAGUGACGGUAAUGGGUAAAGAAGCACCGGCUAACUACGUG